rnacentral:rRNA from 1 species
GUCAAACGCCAUGCCACCUUGAACAAGCCUGAUGUCUGAUCUCAGAGACUAAGCAGGGUCAGGCCUGGUUAGUACUUGAAUGGGAGACCACCUAGGAAGACCAGGUGCUGUAGGCC